CGAGCAGCCCAGAUGAUCGCUGGAUCAAAAAAAAUCCAGAGGAAAGUCCGAACACCAUAGGGCAGGGUGCUUCAUAACGUGGGGGUAAGGGUGAAAAGGUGCGGUAAGAGCGCACCAGUUCCCUGGGUGACCGGGGAAGCUUUGUAAACCCCACCCGGUGCAAGACCAAAUAGGGGAGCGUUUGAGAGCGGCCCGUUCAAGCUCCCGGGUAGGUCGCAAGAGGUGCCCGGCAACGGGCAUCCAUAGAUGAAUGAUCGUUAUCCAGUCCGGGGCAACCCGCAUUGGGCACAGAAUUCGGCUUAUUGGCUGCUCGGACC
rnacentral:RNase_P_RNA from 1 species